rnacentral:rRNA from 1 species
AGAGUUUGAUCAUGGCUCAGAACGAACGCUGGCGGCGUGGAUAAGACAUGCAAGUCGAACGAGAGAAUUGCUAGCUUGCUAAUAAUUCUCUAGUGGCGCACGGGUGAGUAACACGUGAGUAACCUGCCCCCGAGAGCGGGAUAGCCCUGGGAAACUGGGAUUAAUACCGCAUAGUAUCGAAAGAUUAAAGCAGCAAUGCGCUUGGGGAUGGGCUCGCGGCCUAUUAGUUAGUUGGUGAGGUAACGGCUCACCAAGGCGAUGACGGGUAGCCGGUCUGAGAGGAUGUCCGGCCACACUGGAACUGAGACACGGUCCAGACACCUACGGGUGGCAGCAGUCGAGAAUCAUUCACAAUGGGGGAAACCCUGAUGGUGCGACGCCGCGUGGGGGAAUGAAGGUCUUCGGAUUGUAAACCCCUGUCAUGUGGGAGCAAAUUAAAAAGAUAGUACCACAAGAGGAAGAGACGGCUAACUCUGUGCCAGCAGCCGCGGUAAUACAGAGGUCUCAAGCGUUGUUCGGAAUCACUGGGCGUAAAGCGUGCGUAGGCUGUUUCGUAAGUCGUGUGUGAAAGGCGCGGGCUCAACCCGCGGACGGCACAUGAUACUGCGAGACUAGAGUAAUGGAGGGGGAACCGGAAUUCUCGGUGUAGCAGUGAAAUGCGUAGAUAUCGAGAGGAACACUCGUGGCGAAGGCGGGUUCCUGGACAUUAACUGACGCUGAGGCACGAAGGCCAGGGGAGCGAAAGGGAUUAGAUACCCCUGUAGUCCUGGCAGUAAACGGUGCACGCUUGGUGUGCGGGGAAUCGACCCCCUGCGUGCCGGAGCUAACGCGUUAAGCGUGCCGCCUGGGGAGUACGGUCGCAAGAUUAAAACUCAAAGAAAUUGACGGGGACCCGCACAAGCGGUGGAGUAUGUGGCUUAAUUCGAUGCAACGCGAAGAACCUUACCUGGGCUUGACAUGUAAUGAACAACAUGUGAAAGCAUGCGACUCUUCGGAGGCGUUACACAGGUGCUGCAUGGCCGUCGUCAGCUCGUGUCGUGAGAUGUUUGGUUAAGUCCAGCAACGAGCGCAACCCCUGUUGCCAGUUACCAGCACGUGAAGGUGGGGACUCUGGCGAGACUGCCCAGAUCAACUGGGAGGAAGGUGGGGACGACGUCAGGUCAGUAUGGCCCUUAUGCCCAGGGCUGCACACGUACUACAAUGCCCAGUACAGAGGGGGCCGAAGCCGCGAGGCGGAGGAAAUCCUAAAAACUGGGCCCAGUUCGGACUGUAGGCUGCAACCCGCCUACACGAAGCCGGAAUCGCUAGUAAUGGCGCAUCAGCUACGGCGCCGUGAAUACGUUCCCGGGUCUUGUACACACCGCCCGUCACAUCAUGGAAGCCGGUCGCACCCGAAGUAUCUGAAGCCAACCGCAAGGAGGCAGGGUCCUAAGGUGAGACUGGUAACUGGGAUGAAGUCGUAACAAGGUA